UACGGGGGGAGCAAGCGUUGUUCGGAAUUACUGGGCGUAAAGGGCGCGUAGGCGGUCAGGUAAGUGAAAUGUGAAAUCCUCCGGCUCACCCGGAGAAAUGCAUUUCAUACUGCCUGACUAGAGUGCGGAAGAGGAAUCGGGAAUUCCAGGUGUAGCGGUGAAAUGCGUAGAUAUCUGGAGGAACACCGGUGGCGAAGGCGCGAUUCUGGUCCGUUACUGACGCUGAGGCGCGAAAGCCAGGGGAGCAAACGGGAUUAGAUACCCCGGUAGUCCUGGCCGUAAACGGUGAACACUAGGUGUGGGGAGUAUCGACCCUCUCCGUGCCGCAGCCAACGCAUUAAGUGUUCCGCCUGGGGAGUACGGUCGCAAGGCUGAA
rnacentral:rRNA from 1 species